ensembl:lncRNA
UGAAGCAUUUUCAUUGUGCUUUAAAAAAAAUUAACAUCAUAUGAGAUCUUAUUUUUAAAUGAUUUAUUCAUUCAUCAUCAUCACUAUGCGCUACCUAUUUAGGCCUACAGUGUUUUAAAAGGAGUGCCUAAAAGUACUCGUGGGGGUCAGUGGAUAAGAUAAGAGUUUUCUAAAUGUGUAUGACUUCUCUUGCUACUAACUAGUUUCUAUUUAAAACUGAAGCAUUUUGUACUGUAUCUGACAAACUAAAACUAAUAUAUUACAACAUUUGGCUGUAGCAGAGCGUUGUUUCAUUUAAAAGUUUGCUGUUUUGUAUGUAGAAAUAAUAAUCCCUAAUUUUAAUAUCAAUAUUGGUUUAUUUUAACAGUCAAAUUUAGACGAUUUUAGCGUGUUAAUGUUAUGAGAGCGCCCUUUAACAGAGUGCCGAAGGAUUUGCUAAUUAGCUCACCAAUGAACUUGAAAUCUGUUCAUUUGCUUGAAACGAGUGAACCACUAAAUUAAGACAAAUUGCUGUCAGCUGCUUGUUCCGUUUCCAUUCGCGGUUUUACUGAAACUCACGCAGGCUACGUUUAAAUUAAACGGAUACGGGGUUUAAUGAGAAUGGAGAAAUGCAUGAAUGAGAGCUUUGACAUGGAGGAUUGUUGCUCUGAGCUGCACCACAGCAAAAUGGAUGAUCGCAUUGCUAAGGGUUCUGCUCUAAACUCCUUACUCAACGAGCUGUUAGAAGAAAAGAUUUCUACUAAGAGGAACAAUCAUUGGAUACUUGGCCCUGAGGACCUCAACGAUACUCUUGUUUAUGAUUUUGAGAUUGAAGAAGCAGCCUGAGCUUUUGUGUUAAUGCCUACAUGGUUGUGCUUUCACCUGUGAAUAAACAUUGUGGGUGAAAGUGUGGUUUUUAAUAACUUCAUCAGCUAAUAGUAACUUGUAAAUAAAGUGUGUAUAUAUUUACUUGCAUUGCCUCCCUUCUGUGUGUAAACGUGUAUAAGUUUGACUAUUGUGAGGUCCUCACCAUUCAAAAUGAUCCUUUCUGAAAAAGUGAAACUGUUGAACACCAACUAGUGAGUCAGCAUUUAGUAGUUUAAAAGCCCUGACUAACAUAGUGAAACAAACGGCUGUUUGUGUACAGCAUAUUUUAGGGACAAAUGUAUACCUAGAUGUGACCUGAACUGAAGAA